AACUGAAGCCCCGGUAAACGGCGGCCGUAACAAUAACGGUCCUAAGGUAGCGAAAUUCCUUGUCGGGUAAGUUCCGACCUGCACGAAUGGCGUAACGACUUCCCCGCUGUCUCCAACACCAACUCAGCGAAAUUGAAUUCUCCGUGAAGAUGCGGAGUACCCGCGGUCAGACGGAAAGACCCCGUGCACCUUUACUCCAGCUUUGCAGUGGUGCC
rnacentral:rRNA from 1 species